rfam:Aspergillus carbonarius ITEM 5010 unplaced genomic scaffold ASPCAscaffold_37, whole genome shotgun sequence.
GGCAAGAUGGCCGAGCGGUCUAAGGCGCUAGGGUCAGGCUAUCUGAUCUUACAUAUUCCUAGUAGGAGUAUUCCUAGUCUCGAAAGGGGCGUGGGUUCGAAUCCCACUCUUGUCA